GGGCCCGCACAAGCGGCGGAGCAUGUGGAUUAAUUCGAUGCAACGCGAAGAACCUUACCUGGGUUUGACAUGCACAGGACGCCGGCAGAGAUGUCGGUUCCCUUGUGGCCUGUGUGCAGGUGGUGCAUGGCUGUCGUCAGCUCGUGUCGUGAGAUGUUGGGUUAAGUCCCGCAACGAGCGCAACCCUUGUCUCAUGUUGCCAGCGCGUUAUGGCGGGGACUCGUGAGAGACUGCCGGGGUCAACUCGGAGGAAGGUGGGGAUGACGUCAAGUCAUCAUGCCCCUUAUGUCCAGGGCUUCACACAUGCUACAAUGGCCGGUACAAAGGGCUGCGAUGCCGUGAGGUGGAGCGAAUCCUUUCAAAGCCGGUCUCAGUUCGGAUCGGGGUCUGCAACUCGACCCCGUGAAGUCGGAGUCGCUAGUAAUCGCAGAUCAGCAACGCUGCGGUGAAUACGUUCCCGGGCCUU
rnacentral:rRNA from 1 species